CCGUCCAUAGCUCAGCUGGUAGAGCAGCGGCCUUUUAAGCCGACGGUCCUAGGUUCGAUUCCUAGUGGACGGA
rnacentral:tRNA from 1 species